rnacentral:rRNA from 1 species
CCUACGGGUGGCAGCAGUAGGGAAUCUUCCACAAUGGGCGAAAGCCUGAUGGAGCAACGCCGCGUGGGUGAAGAAGGUCUUCGGAUCGUAAAACCCUGUUGUUAGAGAAGAAAGUGCGUGAGAGUAACUGUUCACGUUUCGACGGUAUCUAACCAGAAAGCCACGGCUAACUACGUGCCAGCAGCCGCGGUAAUACGUAGGUGGCAAGCGUUAUCCGGAUUUAUUGGGCGUAAAGGGAACGCAGGCGGUCUUUUAAGUCUGAUGUGAAAGCCUUCGGCUUAACCGGAGUAGUGCAUUGGAAACUGCCUGACUGGAGUGCUGGAGAGGCAAGCGGAAUUCCUAGUGUAGCGGUGAAAUGCGUAGAUAUUAGGAAGAACACCAGUGGCGAAGGCGGCUUGCUGGACAGUAACUGACGUUGAGGCUCGAAAGCGUGGGGAGCAAACAGGAUUAGAUACCCUGGUAGUC